rnacentral:rRNA from 2 species
GUGCAUGGCGGCGUGCUAUACAUGCAGUCGAGCGGACCGACGGGAGCUUGCUCCCUUAGGUCAGCGGCGGACGGGUGAGUAACACGUGGGUAACCUGCCUGUAAGACUGGGAUAACUCCGGGAAACCGGGGCUAAUACCGGAUGCUUGAUUGAACCGCAUGGUUCAAUUAUAAAAGGUGGCUUUUAGCUACCACUUACAGAUGGACCCGCGGCGCAUUAGCUAGUUGGUGAGGUAACGGCUCACCAAGGCAACGAUGCGUAGCCAACCUGAGAGGGUGAUCGGCCACACUGGGACUGAAACACGGCCCAAACUCCUACGGGAGGCAGCAGUAGGGAAUCUUCCGCAAUGGACGAAAGUCUGACGGAGCAACGCCGCGUGAGUGAUGAAGGUUUUCGGAUCGUAAAACUCUGUUGUUAGGGAAAAACAAGUACCGUUCGAAUAGGGCGGUACCUUGACGGUACCUAACCAAAAAGCCACGGCUAACUACGUGCCAGCAGCCGCGGUAAUACGUAGGUGGCAAGCGUUGUCCGGAAUUAUUGGGCGUAAAGCGCGCGCAGGCGGUUUCUUAAGUCUGAUGUGAAAGCCCCCGGCUCAACCGGGGAGGGUCAUUGGAAACUGGGGAACUUGAGUGCAGAAAAGGAGAGUGGAAUUCCACGUGUAGCGGUGAAAUGCGUAGAGAUGUGGAGGAACACCAGUGGCGAAGGCGACUCUCUGGUCUGUAACUGACGCUGAGGCGCGAAAGCGUGGGGAGCGAACAGGAUUAGAUACCCUGGUAGUCCACGCCGUAAACGAUGAGUGCUAAGUGUUAGAGGGUUUCCGCCCUUUAGUGCUGCAGCAAACGCAUUAAGCACUCCGCCUGGGGGAGUACGGUCGCAAGACUGAAACUCAAGGGAUUGACGGGGGCCCGCACAGCGGUGAGCAUGUGGUUUAUUCGAGGCACGCGAGACUUACAGGUCUGACAUCUCUGACACCUAGAGAAAGGGCUCCCUCGGGGCGAGUGACAGUGUGCAUGUGUCGUCAGCUCGUGUCG